AAUGGUUCUCGUUAGAUCACCGAAGUCAAGCAUCAUUGGGCGCGGUCAGUACUUGGGUGGGUGACCACCUGGGAACACCGCGUGCCGUU